AUUCUUGGUUUACUGCCUUCCCAAAGAGUCGUAGUGCUUCUAAAGCAAGAAUAUCCAGUGGUAGUUCAUGGUGUGCUUCUGCUGCAGAUGGCAAUCAUUAUCUUCAACUGAAUUUCCCGAGUCUUUAUACAGUUAACGUUAUCGCAAUCUUUGGGGACAGUUCAAGUUCAAGCUUUGUAACUAAAUAUCACUUGCAGACAAACAUUGAUGGUGUGAACUGGAAAUCUGAAAAAUCCCAGAAGAUUUAUCUAGGAAACAAAAAUAGUUACAAUGAUGCGGCUAUAAAAAAGUUUUCUGGUGGCCUUAAAUCUAAAGCUUUGCGAAUCUUUCCAUUGAAAUUUGUUGGUGCACCGUGUUUACGAAUUGAAAUUUGUGGUGGAGACUUACUCCCAGA